GGCCUACGGGGGCAGCAGUGAGGAAUAUUGGUCAAUGGCCGAGAGGCUGAACCAGCCAAGUCGCGUGAGGGAUGACGGCCCUACGGGUUGUAAACCUCUUUUGUCGGGGAGCAAGACCCGCCUCGUGCAGGCGGAGCGAGAGUACCCGAAGAAAAAGCAUCGGCUAACUCCGUGCCAGCAGCCGCGGUAAUACGGAGAAUGCGAGCGUUAUCCGGAUUUAUUGGGUUUAAAGGGUGCGCAGGCGGCGAGUUAAGUCAGCGGUAAAAUUUCGGGGCUCAACCCCGAUGAGCCGUUGAAACUGGCUU
rnacentral:rRNA from 1 species